rnacentral:rRNA from 1 species
UCGAACGAUGAAGCCCUUCGGGGUGGAUUAGUGGCGAACGGGUGAGUAACACGUGGGCAAUCUGCCCUUCACUCUGGGACAAGCCCUGGAAACGGGGUCUAAUACCGGAUAAUACUCCUGCCUGCAUGGGCGGGGGUUAAAAGCUCCGGCGGUGAAGGAUGAGCCCGCGGCCUAUCAGCUUGUUGGUGGGGUAAUGGCCCACCAAGGCGACGACGGGUAGCCGGCCUGAGAGGGCGACCGGCCACACUGGGACUGAGACACGGCCCAGACUCCUACGGGAGGCAGCAGUGGGGAAUAUUGCACAAUGGGCGAAAGCCUGAUGCAGCGACGCCGCGUGAGGGAUGACGGCCUUCGGGUUGUAAACCUCUUUCAGCAGGGAAGAAGCGAAAGUGACGGUACCUGCAGAAGAAGCGCCGGCUAACUACGUGCCAGCAGCCGCGGUAAUACGUAGGGCGCAAGCGUUGUCCGGAAUUAUUGGGCGUAAAGAGCUCGUAGGCGGCUUGUCACGUCGGAUGUGAAAGCCCGAGGCUUAACCUCGGGUCUGCAUUCGAUACGGGCUAGCUAGAGUGUGGUAGGGGAGAUCGGAAUUCCUGGUGUAGCGGUGAAAUGCGCAGAUAUCAGGAGGAACACCGGUGGCGAAGGCGGAUCUCUGGGCCAUUACUGACGCUGAGGAGCGAAAGCGUGGGGAGCGAACAGGAUUAGAUACCCUGGUAGUCCACGCCGUAAACGUUGGGAACUAGGUGUUGGCGACAUUCCACGUCGUCGGUGCCGCAGCUAACGCAUUAAGUU